GUAUUUUAUUAAUAUUUAAAAAUUUCAGUCAAAGAUUCGUUAUAGACGAGAUGAGAUAUAAAAAUUGGCAGGCCAAGCACUGCUCGUAAGGGAAACCCCUCAUUCUCUCACAUUAAAGAGAAAACCUGCCAACUCACGCUUCUAUAGUUCACACAAGGUGGAUAUGGAUAAAAUCAUCCAUAUGAUUGGAUAAUUGUUAAUGAUCCUUCCGCAGGUUCACCUACGGAAA
rnacentral:misc_RNA from 1 species